UUGGAAACUCAGUUAUCAUUUUUUAGAAAACACAGAGAACGCCCCCGACUUAAAAGGUGACGUUACUUUCACGCUCGUUUAAAACACUUAUCCUUCAGCAACCCUCUCAGUCCUCUCUGAUAAACCUUACGACUCGUUCUUUCUCAACCCCCUCUCUCUACUAUCUAGACCUGAGGAUCCAGACUCAUUAUCAUUCUUUAGCAUCUACUCUCUCGCCCCAUUAGUAUUUCAAGAAGCCCUUCAGAGUAUAAUAGAGAAAGGGUAACUUCAGUUGCCUGAGAAGAAGCAAGAGGCAAUGGGGGUUGAUGAUAACCCAUUUCCUGCAGUGGUAACCAAUAAUAUUAUUUGAGUUUCCAAGGCUAAUUAACCACGCAAGAAGAUGAAAACGGACUGAGGGCGACCAGAAGGUAAAAAGCAGAUUACAGCGGCCAAACACAAGCAAGCCAUAAAGAAAUGGAGACAGAACUAAGAUGUAAAAGAGAUUGGAAGACUGCAGUGGCUGAAAUUGAAAAGGUGCAGAACACUCUUAAAGGGGAUGCAAGAUAGACCCCUAGAUUGAAGAGUCUUUGUGUGGUCAGAUCUCCAUCUACACCAAAGACACACACAGGGGAACAGAAUCAACGCCCUGUGACUGAGAGGCUCACUUAAACUAAGGGAGCAACAAGAUCAGUCCCUAAAAAGUUCAAGGAGUUAAACGAAUUUACAUUUGGUCCUGGUGCCGUAUGAGAUUUCAAGGGGCUAGAAAGUAAACUUCAAGUCCAUGGGAGUAUAAAAAUAGACCCAGAGCAGAGCGAUGAAACUCCAAAGGGCUGAUAAUAAAGAGUGAACGGUGGUUCGUCAUCCCAAGUUUUCAAUCAUUGAUGAUUGGUUUCAGCCACCUAUUACUAAAACGAAGAAAAGAAGAUUACAGAAAAAGCGUGUAUGGAGGCGUAAGGCCGAACUUCAUCAUUUACCCAUGGUUUAGAAAGCUGGCAAAUGGCGUUCAAAGCAUAGUAAGAAGGUCAUAAGCAAAAAAAUUGUUUGAUAAAAUUUUAGGACACCACUUAACAUGACAAGUACCAUUUAAAAGAGGUCAAAAUUUUAAACGUCGAGAAUGUUACUUAUCGCUUAUCACAGAAGACGGUAAGUGGUUGGGCUUAAAAAAUAAGUUUUUAAUUACUACUCUACCCUUAUAUAAUCACGUUAUCUCUUUUAGGGAUUCUCUAUGUGAUUUCUCUAGGGCCUCUCUAUAAUUUUUUUAGACUUCUCUCUGUGAUUCUUUUUGCGUCUGAAAAUAAGGUGAUAGAACAAAUUCAUGAAAAAUACAAUUUUACCUACAAUAUUUUAAACACUACAUAUAGCCUUUGCUAAUGAAAUGAAUUACAUGGAAAAAGUUCCCAAAAAAUAAAAAGACAUAAUUCUAUAUUGAUUCACUAUAGAAAACAAUUAUUUAUAAAACAGAAUUCUACUCAAUUUCACAUACAUUCUUUAAUAGUUUUAACACCAUUUUUAUAUCCUACAUAAAUAUUAUGUAGUUAUUUAUAUAACAGAAUUCUAUUGCCAGAGAAAAAUUGUCUUUCACGUACUUUCUUAACACUCUUUUCAAUACCCUAUCAUGUAAUCUAUAACACAUAUAUUUUAAAUUUUACUUUCUUUAAU